CGUUUAUAAGUCCAGAAAAACAUGAAACAAACACUUUAACAGCAGUUAUUGGUGCGGGAGCAGCAGUUUUUCUUCUAGUCCUUGUUGGAAUAAUGAUAUAUGUAAUCAGGCAGAGAAGAAAGAAAAGGAACACGUCAAACGAAGGAACGGAACAAAUAGGUUUUUCCACUAUGGAUGAAUCAUUGAUUAAAUGUGAUAAGAAGCAAAUACAAAAGACUGGAACCCACAAUGUCACAUAUGAUUCAUCUUUUAAAGAAAGAGGAGAACCAUUUACUCAUAAAAAACCAAAUAACUUAGAUGAAUUAAUAAAAAGUCUAGCAGAAAUCAAAAAUACCCAGCUGGAUAAAGAAUAUAAGGCAAG